rnacentral:rRNA from 1 species
UUGACACUGAACAUUGAGCCUUGAUGUGUAGGAUAGGUGGGAGGCUUUGAAGUGUGGACGCCAGUCUGCAUGGAGCCGACCUUGAAAUACCACCCUUUAAUGUUUGAUGUUCUAACGUGGGCCCCUUACCGGGGUUGCGGACAGUGUCUGGUGGGUAGUUUGACUGGGGCGGUCUCCUCCUAAAGAGUAACGGAGGAGCACGAAGGUUGGCUAAUCCUGGUCGGACAUCAGGAGGUUAGUGCAAUGGCAUAAGCCAGCUUGACUGCGAGCGUGACGGCGCGAGCAGGUGCGAAAGCAGGUCAUAGUGAUCCGGUGGUUCUGAAUGGAAGGGCCAUCGCUCAACGGAUAAAAGGUACUCCGGGGAUAACAGGCUGAUACCGCCCAAGAGUUCAUAUCGACGGCGGUGUUUGGCACCUCGAUGUCGGCUCAUCACAUCCUGGGGCUGAAGUAGGUCCCAAGGGUAUGGCUGUUCGCCAUUUAAAGUGGUACGCGAGCUGGGUUUAGAACGUCGUGAGACAGUUCGGUCCCUAUCUGCCGUGGGCGCUGGAGAACUGAGGGGGGCUGCUCCUAGUACGAGAGGACCGGAGUGGACGCAUCACUGGUGUUCGGGUUGUCAUGCCAAUGGCACUGCCCGGUAGCUAAAUGCGGAAGAGAUAAGUGCUGAAAGCAUCUAAGCACGAAACUUGCCCCGAGAUGAGUUCUCCCUGACUCCUUGAGAGUCCUGAAGGAACGUUGAAGACGACGACGUUGAUAGGCCGGGUGUGUAAGCGCAGCGAUGCGUUGAGCUAACCGGUACUAAUGAACCGUGAGGCUUAACCUUACAACGCCGAAG